rnacentral:tRNA from 1 species
GGGCGUAGUUCAGCCUGGACUAGAACGCCGGCUUGUCACGCCGGAGGUCGCGGGUUCGAAUCCCGUCGCCC